AAGAAGGAUUGGCCGGUGCUGCUGGCUGGAGUCAAUUUCGAUCCCACGGAUCAGGAGCUGAUCGAGCACCUUGAGGCCAAAGUUCUGGUGCUGCACACCAACAAGAACAUCGACCAGCAGAGGACCAACUGGGUGAUGCACCAGUACCACAUCUGGGACCUGGAGCAAGAGAAGGAGCGGGAGCUGGUCCUCUGCAAGAUUUUCUACCAGACGAACACUAGGGCCAGUAGUAGUUUGGUAUUGGUAGUUGUACUACCUUGUCGUCCGCAAGUUGGUAUUGUUGUUAACGAUCUUUUGGACCAGCCCAUGACGACAACGGGGCACAAAGAUCUAGCAGGUAUCUACUGGCUUCUGGCCCGCCAGCAUUAG
rnacentral:rRNA from 1 species